CCUACGGGCGGCAGCAGUGAGGAAUAUUGGUCAAUGGACGAGAGUCUGAACCAGCCAAGUAGCGUGAAGGAUGACUGCCCUAUGGGUUGUAAACUUCUUUUAUAUGGGAAUAAAACAGGGUAUGCAUACCCUCUUGUAUGUACCAUAUGCAUAAGGAUCGGCUAACUCCGUUCCAGCAGCCGCGGUAAUACGGAGGAUCCGAGCGUUAUCCGGAUUUAUUGGGUUUAAAGGGAGCGUAGGUGGAUUGUUAAGUCAGUUGUGAAAGUGUGCGGCGCAACCGUAAAAUUGCAGUUGAAACUGGCAGUCUGGAGUACAGUAGAGGUGGGCGGAAUUCGUGGUGUAGCGGUGAAAUGCUUAGAUAUCACGAAGAACUCCGAUUGCGAAGGCAGCUCACUGGACUGCAACUGACACUGAUGCUCGAAAGUGUGGGUAUCAAACAGGAUUAGAUACCCCUGUAGUC
rnacentral:rRNA from 1 species